CACGUAGGGGACGAGCGUUGUCCGGAUUCAUUGGGCGUAAAGCGCGCGUAGGCGGCUCGGAAAGUCGGUCGUGAAAUGCCGGGGCUCAACCCCGGGACUGCGUCCGAUACUCCCGAGCUGGAGGCAGGUAGGGGAGAUCGGAAUUCCUGGUGUAGCGGUGAAAUGCGCAGAUAUCAGGAGGAACACCAAUGGCGAAGGCAGCACUCUGGGACGUGACUGACGCUGAGACGCGAAAGCGUGGGGAGCAAACAGG
rnacentral:rRNA from 1 species